GGAGUUAGCCGGUGCUUCUUCUGUGAGUAACGUCACAGCUAGCAGGUAUUAACUACUAACCUUUCCUCCUCGCUGAAAGUGCUUUACAACCCGAAGGCCUUCUUCACACACGCGGCAUGGCUGCAUCAGGGUUUCCCCCAUUGUGCAAUAUUCCCCACUGCUGCCUCCCGUAGGAGUCUGGGCCGUGUCUCAGUCCCAGUGUGGCUGAUCAUCCUCUCAGACCAGCUAGGGAUCGUUGCCUAGGUGAGCCAUUACCUCACCUACUAGCUAAUCCCACCUGGGCUUAUCCAUCAGCGCAAGGACCGAAGUUCCCCUGCUUUCCCCCGUAGGGCGUAUGCGGUAUUAGCAGUCGUUUCCAACUGUUAUCCCCCACAAAUGGGCAAAUUCCCAGGCAUUACUCACCCGUCCGCCGCUCGUCAUCUUCAAAAGCAAGCUUUUGAAAUGUUACCGCUCGACUUGCAUGUGUUAGGCCUGCCGCCAGCGUUCAAUCUGAGCCAGAAUCAAACUCUGA
rnacentral:rRNA from 1 species